CCGGAGGCGGCAGCGGCGCGGCCCGGGGCGAAGCGGCCGCGGGGCCAAAUUGGGCGCCGGGCGCGAGCCGAGGCUGCCGCGGACCCCGCAAUCCCGCAGCCGGCGACUGGAGCCCACCUCUGCGGAGACAAAGGCAGGAGUGCCAUUCCUUUCGCUCUUCUCAUGGAAGCUGCUCCAGAGAACCCCAGCUGAAGAUGCAUUCGGAUUCAGCAAACAGUGGGAAAGCAGAGGACACAAGUUUGGAUGCGAAAUAGUAACACCUUCUGCAGUGAAGAAUAAUUAAACAAUAUUUUAAUUACACAAAAUCGAGCGUGUUGUUGGACCUUCCCAAACAGUUAACACUUUAUGCUGGUCUAUACAUGUCUAUACAUUCAGAACAUUGUUUAGUUCUGAAACAUUCUGAGAAAUAACCUCAAUUGUCCAUUUUCCUCUACCCAAAUAAAGGCAGAGUUUAUGACCCUCUAUUUCAGCUGGUGGAAGGAGGGCUGGGAAAAGACUGCACUUUUGAAAAGGCAGCCAUAUUUGUACUUUUUCACCCUGUGCAGAGAUAAGCCAUGUGCUGGGCUUUGUGGAACCUCACAAAAUGGCAGCCCCUGAAUUGACUUUUCUCUAGGAACCGUUGAGACCCACACCUUUUUUGGUGUGUUUCUGGUCUACGCGGAGAACCUAAAUCACUUAGGACCCUUGGUUUUUUCAUCCAGUGUUAACAUUGGAGGGUCCUAUUUUUCUGUAAAUGAUUUACAGACCUCUCUAAGCAGACUCUCUAAGCAGU